rfam:Paeniclostridium sordellii ATCC 9714 gcs9714.contig.70, whole genome shotgun sequence.
UGUGGUUACUAUAGCAAAGAGGAUACACCUGUUCCCAUUCCGAACACAGAAGUUAAGCUCUUUAGCGCCGAUGGUACUUGGUGGGAAGCUGCCUGGGAGAGUAGGACGUAGUCACGU